rnacentral:rRNA from 1 species
UACGUAGGAGGCAAGCGUUGUCCGGAGUUACUGGGCGUAAAGAGCUCGUAGGCGGUCUGUCGCGUCUGGUGUGAAAAUCCAGGGCUUAACCCUGGACCUGCAUCGGGUACGGGCAGACUAGAGUGCGGUAGGGGAGAUCGGAAUUCCUGGUGUAGCGGUGAAAUGCGCAGAUAUCAGGAGGAACACCGGUGGCGAAGGCGGAUCUCUGGGCCGUAACUGACGCUGAGGAGCGAAAGCAUGGGGAGCGAACAGG